CUCGGAGCGAAAAGCUCCCAUUUUAAAUAUCGCACGGUGACGUCAUCCUGGGACGUAGUCACCGCGGCGGCUCUCAAGUUCUACUUUGUUCCACAGGCUUCUCUGCUCACAGCGGCGUGCGUAAAACCCAAAGGAAAACCAAGCCCGGCCUUCCAGGUGUUUAUAACUCUGUACUUUUCCCUGUGUUGUAACGAAAGGCUAAUCGCAACCGUUUCUAGACACAAAUAUUUCUGACAGACGUUCCCAAGGUUGAGGAAGCGGGGGUGAGGAACCCCUGACCAGCCUCAGCGACGUUACAAAGCGGGCUCUCCGGACGCUGAGGAGACGGGAUUUCCCACGGGGCCGGGACUUGGACUUUUUAAGCCAUCAAAACCUGCUGCUAAGCACUCAGGCUUGGGUUUUAAGAGUGCUAGAUGAUCCAAUGAGAUGUUUCCAUAAAGAACAUGUUCCCACUCCACACCUGGCCCAGGAGAAGCUCAAAACAUGGAACUAAAAAGGAAAGUUGGUGAGAACAAUAAACUGUGACCUGUAUAUAUCAUGAGCAACAACCGAAACACAGUGGGGGCAAUUGGUGUGGAAGGAAGCAAACAGUAGAACAAAGUUGUUAGGUUGGUAAUUUUGUUUUGUUUUGCUUUUGCUUUUAAUUGCAGACAUGUAAAUACUAAAUUCUCAUAGUGUUGAAGAACUGAAAUAAAUUGAAAGAAUAACACUCCUCACCAGAUGUUCAGUGUAAAUGUUAUAUAAAAAUGUAAAUGAUUAUAGGAUGUGAGAAUGUCUUAGAGCAACAGCUAUUGAGGGAAUAUAAUUCCCUAGUCUUUUAAUAUGGGUGUGGAGUUUAUGCUAAUUUCACUAGGGUUUUUCAACUAUAUGAUCUGUGUUUAAUUUGGAAGACCUGAAAUUAACUGAUGGGUCUUUAUUUUGAAUUUUCUGCAUUGGUAUAGAUAUUAUUUAAUUUUAUUAUUUUAAAAGCAGUGUUGGAAAGGGAAAA
rnacentral:lncRNA from 1 species